CCACAACCACUGCAUGGGCACCCCAACAUCAACAGGCACACCACAACCACUGCAUGGGUACCCCAACAUCAACAGGGCACCACAACCACUGCAUGGGUACCCCAACAUCAACAGGCACACCACAACCACUGCAUGGGUACCCCAACAUCAACAGGCACACCACAACCACUGCAUGGGUACCCCAACAUCAACAGGGACACCACAACCACUGCAUGGG